rnacentral:rRNA from 1 species
UACGGGGGGGCAAGCGUUGUUCGGAAUUACUGGGCGUAAAGGGCUCGUAGGCGGCCAACUAAGUCAGACGUGAAAUCCCCCGGCUUAACCGGGGAACUGCGUCUGAUACUGGAUGGCUUGAGUUCGGGAGAGGGAUGCGGAAUUCCAGGUGUAGCGGUGAAAUGCGUAGAUAUCUGGAGGAACACCGGUGGCGAAGGCGGCAUCCUGGACCGACACUGACGCUGAUGAGCGAAAGCCAGGGGAGCAAACGGG